AGAAGUCAAUGAACUUGAAGAUAAGAUCAAGUGGGCAUGUGAUCAAAUAGUAUAUAGUAUAAAUCAAAUAUCCUUUCCACUACCUUAAUUCAUGGGCAAGGACGGUACUAUACAUCACACCUGUCACUGAAUUUGUGGGCGAAGGACAAUAUGCAGUAUCACUCCUUUCACCAUCCAAUAGUGGACAACCGCUCUAUUUGAUUUUUCCUUUUU
rnacentral:lncRNA from 1 species